AGGACGAACGCUGGCGGCGUGCUUAACACAUGCAAGUCGAGCGGUAAGGCCUUUCGGGGUACACGAGCGGCGAACGGGUGAGUAACACGUGGGUGAUCUGCCCUGCACUCUGGGAUAAGCCUGGGAAACUGGGUCUAAUACCGGAUAUGACCUGCUCUCGCAGUGGGGGGUGGGUGGAAAGAUUUAUCGGUGCAGGAUGGGCCCGCGGCCUAUCAGCUUGUUGGUGGGGUAAUGGCCUACCAAGGCGACGACGGGUAGCCGACCUGAGAGGGUGACCGGCCACACUGGGACUGAGACACGGCCCAGACUCCUACGGGAGGCAGCAGUGGGAAUAUGCACAAUGGGCGAAAGCCUGAUGCAGCGACGCCGCGUGAGGAUGAAGGCCUUCGGGUUGUAAACCUCUUUCAGCAGGACGAAGCGCAAGUGACGUACCUGACAAGAAGAAGCACCGGCUAACUACGUG
rnacentral:rRNA from 1 species